CAGGGUAUAGACCCGAAACCCGGUGAUCUAGCCAUGGGCAGGUUGAAGGUUGGGUAACACUAACUGGAGGACCGAACCGACUAAUGUUGAAAAAUUAGCGGAUGACUUGUGGCUGGGGGUGAAAGGCCAAUCAAACCGGGAGAUAGCUGGUUCUCCCCGAAAGCUAUUUAGGUAGCGCCUCGUGAAUUCAUCUCCGGGGGUAGAGCACUGUUUCGGCAAGGGGGUCAUCCCGACUUACCAACCCGAUGCAAACUGCGAAUACCGGAGAAUGUUAUCACGGGAGACACACGGCGGGUGCUAACGUCCGUCGUGAAGAGGGAAACAACCCAGACCGCCAGCUAAGGUCCCAAAGUCAUGGUUAAGUGGGAAACGAUGUGGGAAGGCCCAGACAGCCAGGAUGUUGGCUUAGAAGCAGCCAUCAUUUAAAGAAAGCGUAAUAGCUCACUGGUCGAGUCGGCCUGCGCGGAAGAUGUAACGGGGCUAAACCAUGCACCGAAGCUGCGGCAGCGACACUGUGUGUUGUUGGGUAGGGGAGCGUUCUGUAAGCCUGUGAAGGUGUGCUGUGAGGCAUGCUGGAGGUAUCAGAAGUGCGAAUGCUGACAUAAGUAACGAUAAAGCGGGUGAAAAGCCCGCUCGCCGGAAGACCAAGGGUUCCUGUCCAACGUUAAUCGGGGCAGGGUGAGUCGACCCCUAAGGCGAGGCCGAAAGGCGUAGUCGAUGGGAAACAGGUUAAUAUUCCUGUACUUGGUGUUACUGCGAAGGGGGGACGGAGAAGGCUAUGUUGGCCGGGCGACGGUUGUCCCGGUUUAAGCGUGUAGGCUGGUUUUCCAGGCAAAUCCGGAAAAUCAAGGCUGAGGCGUG
rnacentral:rRNA from 1 species